UCUCUCUAUCAAAAAAGGAAAGGAAAAAAAAAACCUUUCUCAGCCGCUCCCCUUUCUCAGGCGAUCGCUUGCCACCGAAAUCAACUCUCCCUCGACUCGACUUUAUUGUAUAGAUAAUAUUGAUUUAGGGUUAACAUGAAGUACUUUUGUAUGCUUGCAAAUUGCAAUUAAGGAUAUAUGCAUCAAUAAUCGCCCCUCUUUUAAGGUUGGAUGCAAUUAAAGCGUUGAGCCACUAUUGGAACUUAGACGAGUAUCAUUUAGCGGAAAUUACAUCAUUGAAGUUUAAUAAGUUGUCUCUUGGACCCGUGGCACCAAAUAUUGAAAGUAUUCGUGUUUAGAGUCUUAAGAAAGAUCAAAUAACAAUAGACAUUGACUUCCGUUGGGGCGGUGAAUCGAAUUUUAGGAGUGAGGCUGCAGUUGUUGCUAAUUAUUCUAUUAGUAGAAAGAUCAACAAGUUUUGCAGUUGUUCGUGUUAUUUUCCAAUUUUGUGAGGAAUUUAUUUGCAUCUUUGCUGUUGACGUUUCUUUACUUUCCGAGGUAUAAACUUAUAAUUUUACUUAAAUAUGGAGUACCUUUUAUAAUGUUAUUAUGAUAUUUUGAAUGAUGGAAGGUUCAUGUGGUUGUUUCUCUUAACUUUCCAAAACCAGUCGGAGUAUGCAUCAGAUGAGUGAAUAUCCAUCCCUAUAUAAAUUGUUGGACUGCCUGGCCUAUGAAUAUGCAUGUAUUAUGUAUUUUGAUAUAAUUUGAAGAGGCGAACCUUAUACUCUCAGCUUUCUAAUUUGAUGGAUUGAAGAUCCCCGUCAAGAGUGACUCUCACACAAAAGGGUUGUCAUUCUUUACAAAUACAUCGAGUAGCACAUACAUUGUGAAUUCUAGGAUGCAAGGUGUUGGCUCUUGCACUACAAAGUCGAGUUAGUUUAGAUUUGAGAAAACCUCCUGACUGAAAAUAAGAAUGAGUUGUUAAAUAUGAAUGAGAAUGUGUAGACAUACCUUUUGGACUAGGAGGUCUUUUUUGUAUGAACAUAUAUACCAAUUGAUGUAUCUUUUGUGGCUACACAGCUGCCAAUAUUUUUUGUAUCAUGUCAUCACCACCAAAUUUUUUGUAUGUGUUGAAUGGUAUCAGCUUAUUGGGUUGGUUAUUUGUUUAA